AACUUUCAACAAUGGAUCUCUUGGCUCUUGCAACGAUGAAGAACGCAGUGAAAUGCGAAAACUAAUGUGAAUUGCAUAACUUUAUGAAUCAUCGAGUCUUUGAACGCACAUGGCACUCUCUAGGUCUUCUAGGGAGUAUACCUGUUUGAGAAUCAUAAAUAUAUACUAGACUUGGUUGGAGUCUGACUUGAGGUUGUCACUGCUAGUUCGGUGUGCCUCUAAACAUGGAGGGACUAGGCUGUUAGCCUGGUAGACGUUGUGUGAUGCGAGGAAGUAUCCUCAAAGCGCAACGUGUCUAUCAGUGCGAGUCGGUCGCUCAUAGUUCCUAUACAUACACACUUGUUGUAUAUUUUUGAAUGUGAUCUCAAAUCAGGCAAGACUACCCGCUGAACUUAAGCAUAUCAAUAAGCGGAGGCU
rnacentral:misc_RNA from 1 species